rnacentral:lncRNA from 1 species
CCGGAAUUUUAGGUUAUAGCUCAAACCUUUCCUCGCUUAAUUUUGAUGUUGAUGGUGAAAUACUUCAUGAUACCUUAUUCUGUGGUUGUAAUGCUUUGGAAUAAGUUUAUGAGCAAACUUAUUCUGUCAUCGUCUAGUUUGAUGGUGAGAAGUUGAGUGGCUAACAACCAAUGGAUGGGCUCCAAUGUUUCGCCACCAUUGCAUUUUCAUUUACUGCUG